AGGAUGAACGCUGGCGGCGUGCCUAACACAUGCAAGUCGAACGUCCUGUCUCGCAAGAGGCAGGGAGUGGCGGACGGGUGAGUACCACGUGGGUCAUCUACCGUGAGGUGAGGAAUACCGGCGAGAAAUCGCCGACAAGACCGCAUAGCCUCGGUGCAAGUCGAGGAAAGCUCUCUCGAGAGAGGGAGCGCCACACGAGGAGCCUGCGCCCGAUUAGCUAGCUGGUGGAGUAAUGGUUCACCAGGGCGACGAUCGGUAGCUGGUCUGAGAGGACGAUCAGCCACACUGGGAUUGAGAACGGCCCAGACUCCUACGGGGGCAGCAGUGAGGAAUUUUCGUCAAUGGGGGCAACCCUGAACGAGCAACGCCGCGUGCAGGAAGAAGGUUUCGGAUCGUAAACUGCUUUUCUCGGGAAGAGAACGGACGGUACCCGAGGAAUCACGCCCGGCUAACUACGUGCCAGCAGCCGCGGU
rnacentral:rRNA from 1 species